CGCAGCAUGUUUUUUAAUGACUCUUUCAGUGAAGAAACUUAUUCAGGUAUAUUAAUUGUGUUUCUUAUUUAACGGAAGUAUGAAAUUAACCUGUCACUUUAAUACUGACUGAAACAAUACUGAGGAAAAAAAGAGCUGCACUUUCUGACCUCUUGGUAGUCACAUAAAGAAGAACAAAGAGGAGGAGCAGAGCGCCUUGCUGCUGCUGCUGCUGCUGUUCCUGCGGGGCCAAACAUCUGGACGGUGAGAAGGAAAGGAAGUAACAAAGAGGAGCAGAGAAGACGAGAGUGGGUGAAAAAAGGAGGGAUGAGGUGAGGUCAGGAGGAAGAAAGCAGCCAUGUUUAUCUUGGAGGAGGGAGCCGGUAUCGCUGGACGAGAGUUCACGCUCACCGCUUUGUCUUCAUCAGAGACAACAUUUAAACCUCCCAACCCCCACCCACCUCCACCAGAGACCAGAGCCCCCCUCCCACCGCCAGCUGACAGCUACGAUUUAUUUUUGCUCUCUUGUUUUCCUCACUCUUGUUGUUUCCCCCAGGAGUCCCGUAAAAACCCGGCCAACUCCUGUUUGCUCUGCAAUUCAUGGGAUAAGCUGGAGCUCAUAAAAAUAAAAAAAAAAUUCUCAGAGGGCACACGGAGGUCCUUCGCUCCGUAAAAAAGACUUGGUAACGGCAGGGAGGUUGGAGUACACACACACACACACACACACACACACAUACGCCCUACACCUUAGAAGCAUUUGAUCCCUGUGAACGCUGCGCAUCCCGUAGAGGACAUGCAGCGUAUUUCCCUCCUUCCAGUGUUUUCUGUGAUGGGAGUGUGAGGUUGUAAAAAAAAAGACAAAAAAAAGAGAGAGAGGAGAAUAAAACCUACACAUGACAGGUGCCCAAAAUCAGAGAAAAGUUAAUGAUGUGAUAUUUUUAUGUUGCUUGCUUUUAGAUUUAUUUUUUUCUGCUUGGUGUUGUAACCCUUUCUGUGAAAGAGUCUGUGUUUAAGUCUGAGUGCACAAUUGCAAAUGAAGACCACCACAUUUUAUUAUGUUGCGGUGUCACAAAAAAAACCCCACAUUGAUG